rnacentral:rRNA from 1 species
GUUUGAUCCUGGCUCAGGACGAACGCUGGCGGCGUGCCUAAUACAUGCAAGUCGAACGCUUCCUACCGGUGCUUGCACCGGGAAAGAAGAGUGGCGGACGGGUGAGUAACACGUGGGUAACCUACCUACAAGCGGGGGAUAACAUUCGGAAACGGAUGCUAAUACCGCAUAGAUCUCUUUGUCUCCUGGCAGAAAGAAGAAAGACGGUUUCGGCUGUCACUUGUAGAUGGACCCGCGGCGCAUUAGUUAGUUGGUGAGGUAAUGGCUCACCAAGACGAUGAUGCGUAGCCGACCUGAGAGGGUGAUCGGCCACACUGGGACUGAGACAC